rnacentral:rRNA from 1 species
UACGUAGGGGGCUAGCGUUGUCCGGAUUUAUUGGGCGUAAAGAGCGUGUAGGCGGCCAGGUAGGUCCGUUGUGAAAACUCGAGGCUCAACCUCGAGACGUCGGUUGAAACCGUAAGGCUAGAGUCCGGAAGAGGAGAGUGGAAUUCCCGGUGUAGCGGUGAAAUGCGCAGAUAUCGGGAAGAACACCCGUGGCGAAGGCGGCUCUCUGGGACGGUACUGACGCUGAGACGCGAAAGCGUGGGGAGCGAACAGG